CAUGCUUGGCCUUCUUGCAUGGGUUGCAUUCAUUAUCACGUGCCCUUCUUCUAGUGGCUGGCUGCUUGCUUCGGUGCUUUUGUGUGCUGCUGGUUCAAUGCAAGGUCUCCACGUCCCUGCCUGGGGUUGGCUAAUUGAUGGCCGGAUGUCUCACCUCUGCUGCUGUUUGUAGCCUUCCCGUAUAAGCCUGGCUUGCUGGUUGCCUCCGAUUGGCUGUUGCUGGUCUCUCUAGCUAGUCUGUCUUGCCUCCGGUUAUUGGCUGCAUGGCUGGGUUUUCUUUUAUUGCGGCAUGGCUGUUGCUUGGAUUCCAAGGCCCGGUCCUGGUUUGGUUGCCGGCUGCUUCUCCUAUGCUGUCCACAGCAUGAUGGCGUGUAUGGUUUAUGGCCCGGUUCCUGGCUCUUUCUCCCUAGUUUGGGUUAUGCUGGGUUCCCGAAAAAUUUCUUUUUGGGUUCCUUCCUUAGCCUUUGGCGCCUUUCUCUUCUCUUGAUGCUUGUUCGGGUCCUUUGGGUUGGUGCCCCUUCGUGUUUGGCAUGUUGUUUUCAGCCUGUACUCUGCUGAUUUUAUGUUUCUGUUUCUUUUGGGGAGCUUGUUCCCUUUUAGAAUUUAUGUAUAUAUCCUGUGCUCUGCUGGUUUCCAGCCUGUUCCGCAAGCCUGUCUUGCAAACAUUUUUGAUUCAAUAUACUUCUUACAUUUGAUCAAAAAAAGAAAGAGCUCUCAG
rnacentral:lncRNA from 1 species